CAAACUCAAGUACUGAUUUACCCUAAAAAUUAUUGGAAGGAUACAUGCAAGGAGUUGGAGAUAGUUUGUAAACUUAAGGCAGCUUAUAAUGAGAACAAGAAGAAAGUAAAUUGUGUAGGUAAGAUGAAGCUCAUUGUUCAAAGGCAGAAAUCAUAAUAGGAUAUUGGAUAAAAGUAACAUUUGACUCCACUUAACUCUGAUAUAAGGAGAUGGGUAGAAUUUUU